rnacentral:rRNA from 1 species
UACGUAGGUGGCAAGCGAUACUCGGAAUUACUAGGCGUAAAGCGCAGGUAGGCGGUUUGAUAAGUUUCUUGUGAAAGCUCCCGGCUUAACUGGGAGAGGCCAAGGAAAACUGUCAAGCUAGAGUGUGGCAGAGGAAGCUGGAAUUCCCGGUGUAGCGGUGAAAUGCGUAGAUAUCGGAAGGAACAUCAGUGGCGAAAGCGACUUCCUGGACCAGUACCGACGUUCAGGCACGAAAGCGUGGGGAGCAAACAGG